rnacentral:rRNA from 1 species
CCCUUAGAUGGUCUGGGCGGCACGCGCGCUACAAUGAUGCAUUCAAAAAGUCUUCUGACCUUAGAAGGUUGGGUAUUCUCCAAAGUGCAUCGUGAUGGGAAUAGUUUAUUGCAAUUUUUAAUCUUGAACGAGGAAUUCCUAGUAAGUACAGGUCAUCAACUUGUGUUGAUUACGUCCCUGCCCUUUGUACACACCGCUCGUCGCUCCUACUGAUUGAGUGUCUCGGUGAAUUCUUUGAUCUUCUGUCGAUUCAGUUCACUGAUCCGACGGUGGAAAGUUGAAUGAACUUCGUCACUUAGAGGAAGGAGAAGUCGUAACA